CCACAGCUCACUGCAACGCUGGAUCCUUAACCCACUGAGGGAGGCCAGGGAUUGAACCUGCAUCCUCACGGAUACUAGUCAGGUUCAUUACAACUGAGCCACAGUGGUAACUCCUCUAGUUUAGUUUCACUUUUUAUUUCUAAAUUUUUAUUGUCCUUAUGUUUUGUUUUGUUUUUCUAGCUUUGUUGGGCUCCCUGGCCUUCCUGGCUCUCAGUUUUUGUCACAGCCAGUAGUGACACUGACACAGACCCACCUUUCCCUCCUGAGCCAGGCAGCUGGAUUCUCUCAUAUUUUUCUCUGCUUUAUCCUCAAGGAUUCUCUACAAUAUUCAUAAGCAGGAAUAUCCAGUCUUCAUUCAGAUCUAUUUCCUUACUGGUCCUGAUCCAGACACCGGUCAAAGGCAACCCAGGACGGU
rnacentral:lncRNA from 1 species